rnacentral:rRNA from 1 species
UAGUCCACGCCGUAAACGAUGGAUACUAGCUGUACGGAUUUCGAUCUGUGUGGCCAAGCGAAAGUGAUAAGUAUCCCACCUGGGGAGUACGUUCGCAAGAAUGAAACUCAAAGGAAUUGACGGGGGCCCGCACAAGCGGUGGAGCAUGUGGUUUAAUUCGAUGAUACGCGAGGAACCUUACCAGGGCUUAAAUGUAGUCUGACAGCUUUAGAGAUAGAGUUUUCUUCGGACAGGCUACAAGGUGCUGCAUGGUUGUCGUCAGCUCGUGCCGUGAGGUGUCAGGUUAAGUCCUAUAGCGAGCGCAACCCCUGUUGUUAGUUGCCAUCGAGUAAUGUCGGGAACUCUAACAAGACUGCCGGUGCAAACCGUGAGGAAGGUGGGGAUGACGUCAAAUCAUCACGGGCCCUUACGUCCUGGGGCCACACACGUGCUACAAUGGACGGUACAGAGGGGCAGCCACACCGUAAGGGUGGGAGCGAAUCCUUAAAACCGUUCUCAGUUCGGGAUCGGGGGUCU